rnacentral:rRNA from 1 species
GACGAACGCUGGCGGCGUGCCUAAUACAUGCAAGUCGAACGCAGUGGGGACGGGUGAGUAACACGUGGGUAACCUCCCAUCAGAGGGGAUAACACUUGGAAACAGGUGCUAAACCGAUACUGAUGGAUGGACCCGCGGUGCAUUAGCUAGUGGGGGAGGUAACGGCUCACCAAGGCCACGAUGCAUAGCCGCCCUCAUAGCGUGAUCGGCCACACCGCGACGUAGACACGGCCCAGACUCCUCCGGGAUGCAGCAGUAGGGAAUCUUCUUCAAUGGACGAAAGUCUGAUCGAGCAACGCCGCGUGAGUGAUGAAGGUUUUCGGAUCGUAAAACCUUGUUGUUAGAGUAGCGGUAUCUAACCAGAAAGCCACGGCUAACUACGUGCCAGCAGCCGCGGUAAUAC